rnacentral:lncRNA from 1 species
CCAGUUAAGACAUCAUCUCCAGAAAACUGUGCUAGUUGGCAUCCAGCAGUGCCCAAGUAUUAUUUAACCCACUAGAACCUGUGACUGCAUCAGCUUUAUAUCCUGGACCUCAGCCUGGAACAAAGGAGAGCUACACUUGGAUACUAAACACAAGUGGUCUGGAUAGAUUAUGCUGGGAAAAGAAGCCUGGAGCAGGCAGUACAGUGGGAGAACAAGACAGAAGUGCUUGCCUUGGUGAUCCAAAAAAGGCAGGAUCCGGCCGGGGGCAAGGUGAUUAUUCUGUCUGAUGAGGAGAAUAAGAGCCAGUUUGUGGUAUUGACAGAAGAAUGAAAGUAAAGAUGUAUAAGGAGACCAUUUUAUUCUCAAGUAAUAAAGUUAAUGAAUCUGAUUUCAAAUAAUAUCUUUAAAAUGAAAAUGCUCAUAGAAGGAGUUAGGAAAGUUCAAUCAAAAUUGUCAAUAAGAGAAGAUUUCUACUUCUGAGAAGAUGGAGUAGACAUACAUCUACAAAACGGAUAGACCUUAAAAGAGAAAUAGACAAGACUACAAUUAUACUUCAAGGUUUCAACAUCCCUUUCUCAGCAACUGACAGAACUGAACAAAAAUUCAGCAAGGAUAUAGAAGAAUCAACAACACCAUCAAUCCACAGACUCAAAUGAACAUUUGUAGAAUACUGCCCCCCCAACAGCAGAUUACACAUUCUUUUCAAGCACUCAGGGAAUAUAUAUCAAUAUAGACUGUAUCCUAGGCAAUAAAACAAAAGACAACACAUUUAUAAUAAUUGAAAUUACAUAAAGUGUAUCCUCUGAUCACAAUGGAAUCAACCUGGAUACCAGCAGCAAAAAGAUAUCAGAAACAUUUCUAACCACUUGCAAAAUAAACUACACAUUUCUAAAUAGUCCAGGGAUCAAAGAGGAAUUCUUAA